CAGACUGGAAUUGGGUGUGGGGUCAUUAGCAGCCAGGGUGGGGUGGGAGAAGGCUGAAGGGGGUUGUGGAGCCUGAAGAGCCCCCAAGGUGAGGCCUGUGGGUGUAUUAACACAGUGGAACACUAUUCUGCAAUGAAAAAGAGUGAGCGGCAUGGAUGGAUCUCAUAGACACCGUGCAGACUCUAAGAAAUCGGUCCACACUAGCAUGUAGAGCAGGGCUGCUUUCAAAGUUGGGCAAAAGAGGUCAGGACAGUGGUUACUGGGGAUGGAGUUGGGUAUUGGCUGGGAGGAAUAUGAGAACCUUUAGAGGGCUGGAAACUUCUAGCUUGAUCUGAGUGGUGGCUGCACCGGUGAAUAAAUUGGUAAAAAUUCAAUGAGACUGCAUUUAAAAUGUGUGUGUUUUAAAAAAAUAAAAUAAAAUAUGUGUGAUUUACGUAAAAUGGAUCUCCAUAAAAGAAGAAAUGAGCCGAGCCAAAAAGCUAGACUUUGACAGAAGGGCAGGUGGGAGCCACGGAAGUUUGAGCCAGGGCUAGGUCCAGGGACGUGUGAAUGUUGGGAGAGUCCUCAGGGUCCCGGGAUGCAGGUGCAUGGAAGGAGAGAGGCCAGAAUCUGCCUCAGCCUCAGCUCCUGACUGGCUUUCUAACUGCCACCCCUCUCUGGGCCCUCUUUUCCCCAACCAGCCCUCUCAUGGGAGUGGAGGUAAAACAGGAGAGAAGUCCAGAGCAUGUGAGACUGAGCUCCCUGGGGACAGACAUCUGAUUCGUGCCUGCGGCCCUACUAGCUCCUGAUAGAAGUGCUGAUUUUGUGAGGGGGAGUGCAGAAGCCGCCGGAAGGGGGGUCUCAGGACCCAUGCCCCACAUUGGGAAAUGGGUGAAAGUAGCGGGGCAAAUCCAAGAUACUCGAGAACGGGAUCGCUGACGUGUCCUCUUAGUUUCUUAGUGAAAAGCCACUUCUAACCAGUUCCUGCCUUGUCACAGUGAAAACCACCUUAGCUGGAGGUGAGGAAUUUGGGCCCCCCAGGCGUUCAGGGUUUUCAUUCAGUGAUAUUCACUGAGGCCCUGCAUGUGCCAGCCCUUGACAUUGAAGACACAGUAGAGAACAGAAAUGAAAAUACGGUAUUAAUCAUCCCUGAGCUUCUCAAUGGGCCCGUUGGCUAAGUGCUGGGGCUCUGGAGCCAGGCUCCCUGGGUCAGAGCCCAGCUCCCCCUUCUCUACUGUGGCUUUGGGCAGGUUUCUUAAAUCUCUCUCUGCCUCAGUUACUUUUUAUGUAAAACGGGACCACACAAUACCCACUUUGCUUCCUUUUUAGAGAUUUGUGCGGUCGUUUGGCAGGGGAUCUGGCUGUAACACUGCAAGGAGGGCUUCCUGCAGGGGGAGGGUGUUGGAGAUGUCUUCAUCCAGUUCCUGUCUCCUGUACUGCCAAGUGGGCUGGCGUCCAGAGGAAGGGCAAUUCGUGGCAGUGGGUGGUGCAAGCCCCAGUUUAGCUCCCGGAGCCAAGGGAUGAGGCUAACUGUGGCUUUGCAGGGAAAUCCGAAGAUAGCUCAGCAGAGAAGGAUGACUCCCAGACGGGCUUCCCCGCAGAGCGAAGGAAGCGAGGGUGAAUCAGCCUCUCAAAGUGGAAUGGAGCCGUUGAGGGAAGUGAUGGGAAGUGAAACCUCCAAGAGGUCCAAGGCCACUCGGCCUCUGACUCACCUCAGGCAGGGCAGAGGGAGGGCUCAGCCACAGGGCAGGGCAAGCUGGGUGUGAAUCUGGGCCCUGCGGCCAGACCUCCAGCCUCUAGACGUGGCCCUUCCUGCAACCUCAGUUUCUGUAUCUCUACAACGGGGUGGGAAGGGUUUGGUCGAGGUGAUUUACAGGAGGGAAGCACACAGUAGGGCCUCCAGAACUGCUAGCCCCUCCCCCUUUCCUGUCUGAGUCUUAAGCAGAUAAUGAAAUGAGUAUGUUGGGAUAGUUUGGGGUUCUUGUUAGUCUCCUGACCGGUGAGUCGUCAUCUAGGUCCUGGCGAGAUGAGUAAGGGAGGGAGGGCGGCAGGAAAAAGAAAAAGAGCAGCCAUGCACCACAUCUGAAAAUCAAUAGCGAAAAUAAAAAUGAUGAACCGUCUCUCGUGUAUCUGGUUCUUACUAAAUGCCUGCCCGUCUGUGCCAGUCCCUGUUUUCAUCUUCACAGCAGUUCCGUGGGAAGGUGGACCCAUUCUAGAAGUGAGGUAAAAUGUUCAGAGAGGUGAAGCCACUUGCCCAAAGUCACACAGGUAGCGGAUGGCAGAGCUAGGCUUUGGACCCUGAACCAAAUCCUGGAAUUGAAGCCUUUGCUCUUAGCCUCAGAUCUGUGGGGGUGGGGGUUAUUGAGGACCCACAGACCUGGGAGGGCACUUAGAGGAGGGGUCUGUUGUAUAGACAGGGCAACUAAGGUUCAGGCCAGACAGGGGCCUUCCACUGGAUGAUCUGCCUGUUGGGAGUGUACAUAUGUUCAGAAAGAAACAGCAACUUCUUCUGGCUUUGUUUAACAUUUAUUACAAAGUUAAGAGCAGAGACUGGUGAGUUGUGCCCCCCACCCGCCUUCUCCCCACCAAAUACUCUGCAGCUCUGGAAAACUGUGUUCUCCUUGCUCUCCCGCCAGAGGGCGCUGCUUCUUCUCAGCCUCAGGCCUGGUUCCUUCAGCUCCCUUAUCCAGCGGUAACUGAGGCAUCCCAGGAUCCUGGACUCUGGGCCCCCCCCCACCCCUGGUCCCCUCCUCCUCUGGGACCCAGAAGUCUCACCCCCCCAGGCACCUCCCCUUCUAACUGAAAGCUGGAGGUCAUCCGUAGCAGCAUAGUGAGGAUGUUUUGUCGAGGGUAUGUAGGGUAGUAGUGACCAUUUUCCCGUUGGGGGCAGGGAGUGGGCGUGUGUGUGUGUGGCCACGGCCCUUCUCCUUGAGCCAGUGUCUCCUCCAGCAGCCAUCCGUGAGUGAGCCCAUCCAAAGGUGGAGCCCCCUUCGGUCCUUGCACUCGAGGUGCUUUAUUCGUAGGGCUGGGUCAGGAGUAGCAGGGACAAUGUCCUCGACCUCAAUCCUGGGGAAAGUAGCUUGGUUCUUCCUCCAUGGGUCCUGGGGAGACAAAUAGAGACAUGGCUAGACAGGCAGGCCAGAAGCCAGAGGGAGAGCAACAGCAGGGACACUGAGGUGGAGACAGACACCAGUGGACAGAGGAGGAAGGAAGAGGGUGGGUGUACCUGCCACCAAGAGACUGGGCAUUUGCACAGAGACUGAGAGCAUGCCCAGAGACAGGCAGGCAGACCAAGCAAAGAAAGAGGGAGAAGAUAUUGAGGGUCAGCAAAGAGAAGGACUGUCUCCUUCCUUUCCUGCUAGUCCAGCCCCAAACUUGAGUCCUGUCUUCCAAACAGCAGAAGAGAAAGGGUAGCCUUGUCCCCAAGACCAUCCCCUGCCCCUUAGCCCCAUGGGGCGCUAUCCACAGGCACCAUUUCUCCAGGAUGUUCUGCCUGAGUCCAGCCCUCUCACCAGCUACGUGGCCUCCUGGCUUGGUUCUGGAAGCUGCUGCGGCCCCAGGGCAUUGCUAAGCAGCUCGGUCAGGGUGUCCAGCUUCCGGGCCAGUGCAUCCAUCCGCUUCUCCAGGGCCUGAUGGGAGCUGCUCAGACCCAGCUGCAGGUCACACAGGAUCAUGUGCAUCUGGGCAGAGCGGGUCAGAGGUAUCAGUGGGUGAGGUAGACUUCCCCUUAUCCCAGCUGCUUGGCUCAGUGCUUCCCCUACAUGGUUUAAAACUCCUUAAAAGUGCGAGGAGUGCGAAUUCUGUUCCCGUUUUUACAGCUAUGUAAACAGGCCUAGAGCAGUUAAAAUGACAUGCCCAAGGCAGCACCUAGAAUAAGGCUUAGGACGUAGAAGGUAGGUGCUCACUAAACAUUUGUGGAAUUGAUGAAUGGCUUCAGAAUGCACGUAGCCCUUUCAUUACCUUCUCAGAUGAGGAUUCACAGCUUCAUCCUUGAGGGUGUGUGAGCUUUCUAUGAGAAUUCUUGAAUUCUAUGUUUU